GGUCUAGUUUCACCAGCACAUAUACUAAAAUUGGAACAGUACAGAGAAGAUUAACAUGGCCCCUGUGCAAGGAUGACAUGCAAAUCGUGAAGUGUUCCAUUUAUAA
rnacentral:snRNA from 14 species